rnacentral:rRNA from 1 species
CCUACGGGGGGCAGCAGUGAGGAAUAUUGGUCAAUGGGCGCGAGUCUGAACCAGCCAAGUAGCGUGAAGGAUGACUGCCCUACGGGUUGUAAACUUCUUUUAUAAAGGAAUAAAGUGAUGCACGUGUGCGUUUUUGUAUGUAUUUUAUGAAUAAGGAUCGGCUAACUCCGUGCCAGCAGCCGCGGUAAUACGGAGGAUCCGAGCGUUGUCCGGAUUUAUUGGGUGUAAAGGGAGCGUAGAUGGGUUGUUAAGUCAGUUGUGAAAGUUUCCGGCUCAACCGGAAAAUUGCAAUUGAUACUGGGAGACUUGAGUACAGUUGAGGUAGGCGGAAUUCGUGGUGUAGCAGUGAAAUGCGUAGAUAUCACGAAGAAC